rnacentral:rRNA from 1 species
AGAAGCUACUAAGAGUUUAUGGUGGAUGCCUUGGCGCCAAGUGCCGAUGAAGGACGUAGGUUAUUGCGAUAAGCUUCGGGGAGCCGUAAACAGGCGAUAUAUCCGGAGAUUUCCGAAUGGGGAAACCCACCAGCGCGAACCGCUGGUAUCAUCCGUUGAACACAUAGACGGAAUGAGGGGCACCUGGGGAACUGAAACAUCUAAGUACCCAGAGGAAAAGAGAGUAUUCCCCGAGUAGUGGCGAGCGAAAGGGGAUUAGCCCAAACCACUGCGGCUUGCCGUAGUGGGGUUGUAGGGCCUGGCAUUGUGGAGUUACAAAGUGUUCGGUUAGCAGAAUGGUGUGGGAAAGCCAACCAAAGAGGGUUACAGUCCCGUAAGCGAAAGCCGAGCACCUCCCGUCAGGUACCUGAGUACUGCCGUGCACGCUAAUACGGCAGGAAUCCGGGGGGCCCACCCUCCAAGGCUAAAUACACUUGGCGACCGAUAGUGAACUAGUACCGCGAGGGAAAGGUGAAAAGUACCCCGUUGAGGGGAGUGAAAUAGAACCUGAAACCAUAAACUUACAAGCAGUUGGAGGGCUAAUGGCGGGUCGGUGCUCCGGUGAAAGCCGGUUGCGCGCCGCUAUGCCUGACAGCGUGCCUCUUGGAGAAUGAGCCUGCGAGUUAAUUUUUGUGGCGAGGUUAAGAGAGUGACACUCGAAGCCGUAGCGAAAGCGAGUCUGAAUAGGGCGUUCAGUCGCAAGAAUUAGACCCGAAACCGGGUGAGCUACCCAUGGACAGGGUGAAGCGAGUCUAAUCGCUCGUGGAGGCCCGAACCUACUAAUGUUGCAAAAUUAGGGGAUGAGCUGUGGGUAGAGGUGAUAUGCCAAACGAACUCGGAGAUAGCUGGUUCUCCCCGAAAUAGCUUUAGGGCUAGCGCUACAUGUUCAGUACUGGAGGUAGAGCACUGAAUGGGCUAGGGGGCUUAGUGCUUACCAAACCCAAUCAAACUCCGAAUGCCAGUACUCCAGAAUGUAGCAGUCGGACUACGGGAGAUGAGUUUCGUGGUCAAAAGGGAAACAGCCCAGAUCAACAGCUAAGGUCCCCAAGUUUGUGCUAAGUGGGAAACGAUGUGGGGUUACUUAAACAACCAGGAGGUUGGCUCAGAAGCAGCCACCCUUUAAAGAGUGCGUAAUAGCUCACUGGUCAAGUGAUCUUGCGCGGAAAAUUUAACGGGGCUAAGCAUAGUACCGAAGCUUUGGGCUUCAGCAUUAGCUGGAGCGGUAGGGGAGCGUUCUGUAGGCAGUGAAGGUCGACCGGAAGGACGGCUGGAGCGUACAGAAGUGAGAAUGCAGGCAUGAGUAGCGUAAAACAUGUGAGAACCAUGUUCGCCGUAUGUCUAAGGUUUCCGACGCCAGGUCAUUCCGCGUCGGGUUAGUCGGGUCCUUAGCCGAGGCCGGAAGGCGUAGGUGAUGGACAUCGGGUCAACAUUCCCGAACCACUUAAAAUGAGUGAUGGGAGGACGCAGCGAGGUAGGCCAGCCCACGAUUGGUCGUGUGGGUGCACCUGACGUCAGACUUUGAGAGCUGUAGGCAAAUCCGCAGUUUGAGUUGAGGUCUGGUGGCGUGCCCUUGAGGUAGAAGUGAGCUAAGCCUUGCUGCCAAGAAAAGUCCCUAAACGUUGAUUUUUGAGUGCCCGUACCGCAAACCGACACUGGUAGACGGGUAGAGUAUACCAAGGCGAACGGGAGAACCCUCGUUAAGGAAUUAGGCAACAUAGCCCCGUAACUUCGGGAGAAGGGGUGCCUCUUAUUGUGAAUGUAUAAUGAGCAUAAAGAGGUCGCAGUGAAAUGGCUCUAGUGACUGGUUAACAAAACCACAGGUCUCUGCAAAGCCGAAAGGCGAUGUAUAGGGGCUGACACCUGCCCAGUGCCGGAAGGUUAAAGGGAGAGGUUAGCGCAAGCGAAGCUUUGAACUGAAGCCCCGGUGAACGGCGGCCGUAACUAUAACGGUCCUAAGGUAGCGAAAUUCCUUGUCGGGCAAGUUCCGACCCGCACGAA